rnacentral:lncRNA from 1 species
CCCUAAGUGAAGUUUCAUUUAUUUGUCAGAGUAGGUUUUCUCGCUACAUUGAAGACCCAUUGGUGGCCUUCGGCUGUUGUCUGCUCUAUGGUCGGGUUGUUGUCGCUUUGACACAUUCCCCAUUUCCUUUCUCAAUUUUAUUUACAUUUUUCUAAAUGCUAAUUGAAUGAAUUAGUGGUGUGACACCAUACUGAGGAACCGUUUUACUCAAGUAAAAAAUGGAGCACAUGAGUUAUCCUUUACGAUAUUAUUUUCGUUGCAAUUUAAGAAAUGACUUUGAAAAAAAAAUAUAUAAUACAAUUCAAUUACUAAUACGUAACACUCUGUCAACAUGCAGUUUUCAUAAAC